rnacentral:rRNA from 1 species
AGUGAACGCUGACGGUAGGCCUAACACAUGCAAGUCGAACGGCAGCACAGGAGAGCUUGCUCUCUGGGUGGCGAGUGGCGGACGGGUGAGGAAUACAUCGGAAUCUACUCUGUCGUGGGGGAUAACGUAGGGAAACUUACGCUAAUACCGCAUACGACCUACGGGUGAAAGCAGGGGAUCUUCGGACCUUGCGCGAUUGAAUGAGCCGAUGUCGGAUUAGCUAGUUGGCGGGGUAAAGGCCCACCAAGGCGACGAUCCGUAGCUGGUCUGAGGGGAUGAUCAGCCACACGGGAACUGAGACAAGGUCCAGACUCCUACGGGAGGCAGGAGUGGGGAAUAUUGGACAAUGGGCGCAAGCCUGAUCCAGCCAUACCGCGUGGGUGAAGAAGGCCUUCGGGUUGUAAAGCCCUUUUGUUGGGAAAGAAAUCCAGCUGGUUAAUACCCGGUUGGGAUGACGGUACCCAAAGAAUAAGCACCGGCUAACUUCGUGCCAGCCGCCGCGGUAA